rnacentral:rRNA from 1 species
GUGCAGCAGGCGAGAAUUUUUCUCAAUGGGGGAAACCCUGAAGGAGCGACGCCGCGUGGAGGAUGAAGGCUUUCGGGUUGUAAACUCCUGUCAUUUGAGAACAAGUGGCCGAACGUAACUACUUCGGCCUUGAUAGUAUCAGAAGAGGAAGGGACGGCUAACUCUGUGCCAGCAGCCGCGGUAAUACAGAGGUCUCAAGCGUUGUUCGGAUUCAUUGGGCGUAAAGGGUGCGUAGGUGGCGCCGUAAGUCGGGUGUGAAAUUUCGGAGCUUAACUCCGAAACUGCAUUCGAUACUGCGGUGCUUGAGGACUGGAGAGGAGACUGGAAUUUACGGUGUAGCAGUGAAAUGCGUAGAGAUCGUAAGGAAGACCAGUGGCGAAGGCGGGUCUCUGGACAGUUCCUGACACUGAGGCACGAAGGCCAGGGGAGCAAACGGGAUUAGAUACCCCCGUAGU